rnacentral:rRNA from 1 species
AGCGAACGCUGGCGGCAGGCUUAACACAUGCAAGUCGAACGCCCCGCAAGGGGAGUGGCAGACGGGUGAGUAACACGUGGGAACGUACCCUUUGGUUCGGAAUAACUUGGGGAAACUCAAGCUAAUACCGGAUAAGCCCUUACGGGGAAAGGUUUACUGCCGAAGGAUCGGCCCGCGUCUGAUUAGCUAGUUGGUGAGGUAACGGCUCACCAAGGCGACGAUCAGUAGCUGGUCUGAGAGGAUGAUCAGCCACACUGGGACUGAGACACGGCCCAGACUCCUACGGGAGGCAGCAGUGGGGAAUAUUGGACAAUGGGGGCAACCCUGAUCCAGCCAUGCAGCGUGAGUGAUGAAGGCCUUAGGGUUGUAAAGCUCUUUUACCCGGGACGAUAAUGACUGUACCGGGAGAAUAAGCCCCGGCUAACUUCGUGCCAGCCGCCGCGGUAA